UCGAUCACUCCUCCUCCCAACCUGAUUGAAAUACUAGGUUAUAAAAAGAAAUAAUGAUUUAUUUCCAUGACUUUGAAUCUCGCUGAACUUCAGUCACCUCCCAUAUUUGUAGUUACUGGAGGAAAAAUAUUACAACGCCUGCCUAAACUAGCCAAGAGGGAAGGAGGAGGGCUAUUUAGAAACCAGAAUUUACUUCAACAAAUUACAAAACUGUUAUACACACAGACACAUGCACACACACAGUCAAGAACAUACAGAAGUUUACAAGUCACCAGACUCUGGAACUGACAUACAUAUGCUUCUUAACCAGGAGAAACUGUGCUAGCCUUUGGAAUAAUAAUUAAUAUGACUGGCAGAUAUAGCAGCUAAGGAAUAUUUCUUAAGUAGAAAAAAAAAACAAUGGUCAUCAGGGUUUCCAAUAAAUCCUGUGGAAUCUCCAUGAGAAUAUAUAUUUUCUAAACAAAGAGAUCAGGGGCCCAUCUGGUGGCGCAGCAGUUAAGUUCGCUCAUUCCACUUUGGCAGCCCAGGGUUUGCCCGUUUGGAUCCUGGACGCAGACUUAACACCACUUAUCAAGCCAUGCUGUGGCAGACGUCCUAUAUUGCUGAUCUUCAAUCGGAGAUCUGGGUGCUGACUUGAGAUUAAGAGGAACGCACAUGCUGGUUCUGAAAAAGAACGGCCGGUAAAGGCUGGAUCUAAUAAUUCAGCUCAAGGAGAAGUUUGUCAGGAAGAGAAGAAAGAGAAGAGGACUUGAGAAUAUUUCUAGAAUAUUGGGAGAACAACAAAAAGAAAAUGAAUUUUUCAGCAUUUCUUUUCUGUCACCGCAACAUGCUCUGGGCUCAUCUUGCAUACUCUCGAUGUCCGCAGGGAAUCGUCAACUUCUCCAAGGAGCCCUGGUUCACUUCUUUGGAGAAUGGUUGUAGAAAUCAAGAUCUGGAUGCUAGAUGUGCUCAUUGCUACUGGGGUGACACUGUAUCUAGUCCCUUUCAGUGGGCAGAGCUAGGAAAUAUAUCUAUGUAUAUUAACC
rnacentral:lncRNA from 1 species